rnacentral:rRNA from 1 species
GACGAACGCUGGCGGCGUGCUUAACACAUGCAAGUCGAACGAUGAACCCGGAGCUUGCUCCGGUGGAUUAGUGGCGAACGGGUGAGUAACACGUGAGUCACCUGCCCUUGACGCUGGGAUAACUGCGGGAAACUGUAGCUAAUACCGGAUACGACCCUCGGCGGCAUCGCCAGGGGGUGGAAAGAAUGUAGGUCAAGGAUGGACUCGCGGCAUAACAGCGAGUUGGUGAGGUAACGGCUCGCCAAGGCGACGACGGGUAGCCGGCCUGGGAGGGUGAGAGGCCCCACUGGGACCGACACACGGCGGUGGUUAGCGCGGGAGGGAGCAGGAGGGACUGUUGCACAAGGGGCGCAAGCCGGAUGCAGCCGCCGCGUGAGGGAUGACGGCCUUCGGGUUGUAAACCUCUUUUAGGAGGGAAGAAGCGAAAGUGACGGUACCUGCAGAAAAAGCACCGGCUAACUACGUGCCAUCAGCCGCAGUAA